rnacentral:rRNA from 1 species
GACGAACCGAGCGAACGUUGUUCGGAAUCAUUGGGCUUAAAGGGCGCGUAGGCGGGCAUCAUAGUCUGUGGUGAAAUCCGGCAGCUUAACUGUCGAAUUGCCAUGGAUACUGGGUGUCUCGAGGGAGGCAGGGGUGCGCGGAACUAAUGGUGGAGCGGUGAAAUGCGUUGAUAUCAUUAGGAACUCCGGUGGCGAAGGCGGCGCACUGGUCCUUUUCUGACGCUGAGGCGCGAAAGCCAGGGGAGCAAACGGG